AUUAAACAUAAAAGGAAAUAUUUUUGUGGUUAUGGAAUUAAUUGGCUAAUAAAAAGGAAGAAAUGGUGAAAAAAGGUAGAAAAAGUGAUGGAUUAGGUUUUGAAUGGGGAUAGCCGGCCAUGUGGUCUUUUAGGGUUGAAUUGGAUGUAUUUUGUGGUUAUUUGGAUAUAAUGGAUGGUUUAAUUGACAAUUAAUAGGUUAAUUAGGCAAUAAACCCAUUAAUUAACCAAUUAACAUAAUUUAAAAGGAAUGUGUUUGGAAAUUACCUUGUAGAAAGGAUUUGAUGAGAUGGACUUUGAAUUGUUACCUAUUUUGGGCACUUCUGUCUUGGUUGAAAGAGGGUUGCCCGCUGCUUGCGCAUAGGAACCUCAUUGUACUGCAAGGGUAUUUUUGUCCUUUUUGUCCAAAAAUCCACGUGUCGCCUUGUGAAUAUUUUUGGCUCCACAAAUGCCCCCACACCUGUUGAGCUGCUCGCAAAAGAGCAGCAGGUGUAGAGAUCUUCUUGCUUUAGGAAACUUAUGACUGCUUCUUAUUUUGAUGUAGAUUCUCUCUUUAAUAGGAAAUUAGAUCCUUCUAGGAAAGGGAAAUAAAUUUCUCUCAAAGCCUAUUUAAGUCCACCUUAAGUGGGUUAUUAAAUCAACUUUGGAGAGCGAUUUAUUCUACCCUACAAGAGAGAGAUAGCUUAGAGGAUAUUUGAUCCCCCUCCUCUAGCAAUCUUCUACAUCUUGCCCGUGCAAAGGACCGUCUUUCGUUGCUUUCUUCGUCUUCUUCGUGCCGCACUGAGGUAAGAAAAAAUUAAUUUUCCUUGUCUUCUUCUUGGAUGGUGCUACCUCGGGGCAGCCGUCAGGGUGGUGCGGCAUAUCGGCUGGCAUGGGCCAGGAGUCGGCUUGGCAUGGGUCGAUGAGGUAUUGUGGCAAGGACCACUGCUUUAAGCUGCUCGACUUAGCUAGAACCAAUGGCAGCUUAUAUGGCUGGGGCCACGGAUUGUGGCGAUGUGGCGCAGUGCUAGACGAGUCACAUGGCUAAUGUCUUUUUGGGCUUUUGGACAUGACGCGAGCUAGGCAGGUGAUUGAGAGAAAUGAAGAGGUUGCGAGCCUCAUGAGCUGUUGGAAUGUUGGGUUGAACUCCCCUGCUGGGUAGCACGAAUGACGUUGGCUACUUUAAUUAUCUUCGUCAGGAGAAACGUGGGCUGCUCCCAAAAUAAGAGGUGAAUAGGAUCAAGGCGGAUGCAUUGGCUCGUCCAAUUACCGUUGUGGAUCCUGCUGCAAGUGAAGGUGGGAAAAUGGAUCUUACCUGCCUGCUCAAGAGAUGCCGACUGAGAAAAAACCAAAGACAUCUUUCGCUGCUUAUGCAAAGGAUGAAAAGUUGAUUGCUGCUUAUAAUCAAGUGAUCCACUUCAAGAGAAUCGUCGAUAGGCUUGAACCCCAAGUGUUGGAACUUCAAGGUGUACUGAAGAUCAACGAAAGUUUGAAGAAAGAAGUGGAUGAGUUGCAGCGCGUCCAUGUUGGUAUUGGUGAAGUAGUUGGAGAAGUUGGUGCCCAAGCUGGAGCAGUAGGGGGUAAUGCCGCUGCUAAGAGCUUCGCGGCUGCUGAAGGUGUGGCGACCGAAUAGUCGUGGGAUAUCCAGGUUGCUAAAGUGUAGUCAUCUAGGUAGCCUUUAAGAUUUUCUUUGUUUUUCCUUGUAGCUCUUGUUUAGCUUGAACUCCUUCGGCCUUUGCUAGUCGUUUAUAAACAUGUUUUCCUUAGCUUUUCUUCAUUUUUGCUUCUUUUGUUCAUGCCCUAACCUUUAGACUUGAUAGACCAGUGGCAAGCAUACUACUUUUUUAUAAGCAGACAAGCUCGCGUAGCCUAUGCAGCCGUAGGUGUUGGUGUAGAACUUUGCAAAGUUGUUAGCCAUUGGGUUGGCAGCCGGAUGCCUUACUUACAGAAGCAGACAAGUCUGCGUAACCACUAGGCUGUUAACCUUGACUUUCUCCAAUUCCGUAGGUUGCGUAGCAAGUAUCACAACACUUUAGGACUUGUUGUAGGUUGUUCCGCGCUUGGCAGAGGUGAAGCUUAUCGACUACGUAGCAUGUCGGCAGUGGAUAAAACUUCGUAUAUGCGUGCUAGCUUGUUUAACCUUUCACAAGAAUGUGCGGUUGUAUAAGUCUAGUGCGGCUUUACUGCUCGAAGGGCAAAUCAUAGGCAGUCUUCCGAAAUCCGUAGGCUACCUUAGUACACUCGGUAGCAGCUUUAGGAUUCCAGGGCAGCCGUCCAUCGGAUGUACUGCGUAAUGUGCCCUCUCCGUCUCUAGGGCUCGGUUCCCCACGGAUUAGGCUAAGAGACCCAAAAUCCUUCAGUUAGCUAAGCCUUGAAAAAGACCAUUGCGGCUACUUCUAAGAAUCCCGGCGUAAGCCAUCGUGCAUCUAGUUAUACUAGGGCAGCUCGGCUCAUCCACGUCUGGAUAUUUGGAGUGUAGAGUUUAUCCUCUCGUUCUUGGAGAGCUGACUCAUGUGGGUGUCGGGGAAUUGGUUUACCCUCUCGCGUUGGAGAGCAAUUAGUUUACCCUCUCGCACUGGAGAGCAUGGUUGGUCCAUCGGGGGUGCAAUUCCUGCGGUAAGUCCCCAAGAAGGGCGCAAUCUUCUUUUGAAGUGCAUGAGUGAUCAGUUGUUGUAAGCAUGCAGCCAAGCCAAGUCGUGAUUACUUCUAAAUUCCUCAUUGAAAAACGAGUUAAACGAACGAGAACUUAGAUGUAAGGUAAGAACUGCAUAACAAUUGGAUAAUCCUCGGCUGAUGAGGUAGUGCCCGUCGAGCUGCUUGAGUCUUCGGGCUUUGAUGUAGCGAGAGGUCACACAUGGUACUUCCUCAGAUUGUAGGCGUUCCACUGUUUUCAAUCUUUUUGUCGUUUUAUGGUGGUGAUGGUGUAAUUGUUCUUGCCACCUACUCUGCUGAUCUUGUACGGACUUUCCCAGAUGGGAUCCAUAUUUUUGGAACCUUUUCUGCUAGCAGUGAUGAAGGUUUUUCUUAUGACCAGAUCUCCGGGCUGGAACUGCCGGAUCUUGGCCCUUUUGUUGUAGCUGGAGAGGAGCUGAUGCUGGUAGGCUGCAAUGCGAGUGAUAAUCUGUUCGCGCCUCUCUUCUGCCAAAUCUAAGCUUGUGGCCAUCUCUUUUCGGUUGCUUGUCUUUUGGUUGUACGAUAUGCCCAUAGACAUCCUUGGAGUUCGUCUGGCCGUUUUCUUUUCUUAGUGGUGGGGGAUUUCUUGUGGCAGUUGAGGAUCAUCUUAGGAUGCUUUGGCUCGCCUAUUGCCUUGAGGAUAUCUUGGCAUAGACAUGUGCUGCUUGAUGCCAUAUUUUUGGAAGAACUUCGCCAAAUCUUUGCCCAUGAAUUGCGGGCCGUUGUCGGUGAUGAUGGAUUAAGGGAUGCUAAAUCGGCAAAUGAUACUCCUUCAUAUGAAGCGCUCUAUGUCCGUCUAAACCAUGAUCGUCAUGGGCUCUGCUUCUACUUAUUUGGUGAAGUAGUCGGUUGCCACGAUCAUCAUGAUUUUGCCCCUGGUAGUCUGGCUGGUGAUUAGCUAGGACUCGGAAUGAAUGGAAAGCUUUUUCACCACCAAGUCUUUUGUCAUUUGAAGGCCUGUUAGUAGGGCUUCGUACUCUGCUUCGUUGUUAGAUGCUUUGAAGUUUAAAGUGAUCGCAUGUUUAAGCAUUGAAACGUCUGAGGUGGUAAGAACCAUGGCUGCUCACGAGCCUUCGUAGUUUGAUGCGUUGUCGACAUGCAAACGCCAGAAAUCUCCAUUGAGGGAGCAGGUGUGGCUAAAGUGUGAUCGGCUGCCUUUGGGGCAUCGUUGGACCGAGUUGUUGCGUUCGUCAUAAAACUUUGCAUCUGCCAGGGUCUACGCCCUUAUCGUCGCCGAUUUGGAUUCAGCGGAAUAGUGCGUCAUGAUGAUGACUGCUUGCGUUUGAAGGUAAAAUUUAAGUCUGAUGUGAGGUGGAUGAUGCUCCUUGUGGGCUUAGCCGCAAAUGGACACUUUGUCCGGAAGGUUGCUCAUGUUAACUAUCGGAGUAUGACCCCAACUGUGAAUGUAUGCUCAUCUGUGGGCUUAGUCGAGAGUGCAUGCUCCUCCGCGCGCUAAGACGGGAAUGUACACUGUCCAAACGUUCGGCUCGUGGCUGGUCGAGUGGCUGCUUGCCAGGACACUGUUGGAAAGGUCCGUCUGCCCUUGUCCUACUUCGGGAUACCUUGUCCGGGGCACGUUGGAUCUCGAUGCGUUGCAAAAGUUGAUUCACUAAGGUUGUCUAUUGUGCAAGGGCGCUCGUCAACUCUAUGACUUGUCGAGACAAGUGUUGUUCGCCAUUUGGAUUGGAAGAGCUUGGAAUGAAUGUGCCUCAUUGGGCAGUGGAAGGGUGGUAGACUCCGGGCGCGAGAUUUGAGUUGGGAAAUGUCAAAUCCGUGAAAAAAUAUGGUGAGAAUGCCCUCGACUCGAUGGUAGGUCCGGAUGGUUGAGAUAGUCUUGGGCCGACUUGGGCUACUUGGAAAGCCACGGGAGCAGGCUGGGCCGUGAGACCCAGGCUGCUCGACUGGAGCUGGCUGGGCCACUGGAAUGGGCUGCUCGUCGGGAGCAGGCUGGGUCACGAGAGCAGGCUGCUCGACAGGAGCAGGUUGGGCCGUGAGAGUGGGCUACUUGACGGGAGCAGGUUGGGCCAUGGGAGUGGGCUGCUCGACGGAAGCAAGAUGGACCACGAGAAUGGGCUGCUCGUCGGGAGCAGGUUGGGUCACGAUAGUAGGCUACUUGGCGGGAGCAGGCUGGGCCAUGGGAGUGGGCUGCUCGACGGAAGCAGGCUGGGCCAAGGAAGUGGGCUGCUCGACGGAAGCAGGCUGGGUCACGAGAGCAGGUUGCUUGGCAGGAGCAAGCUGGGCCACGAGAGCAGGUUGCUUGGCGGGAGCAGGCUGGGCCGCGAGAGCAGGUUGCUUAGCAGGAGCAGGCUGCUUAGUAUGUGAUGCAUGUGAAUGCAAGGCUUGGGCCCGGGCCCGUGCAAACUUGAAUGGCACAACUUGGGCCGUGGCCUUGGUGCCGUGAGCCUUGGAUGGCACGGCUCGAGCCGUGGUGAAGGCAUCAUGGACCUCGCCACGAGUGGCUACCGAAGUAGCCACCGUGGUGGUUCCCAUGGUGGAAACUCGUGGUGGUGGUGCUGCUCCACUUAUUGUCGCAUUUAGCCUCACGGAUCUCCGCAAUCCCAUUUCUUGAACAUUAGAAUUUUCACUUGUGGAAUUUUCUAAAUUUCUAGCCAUUAUAUUUUGCUUAUACGUUUUAUCAAAGAACUUUUGCACGUAAAAAAUUCUAAUAAUAAGAACUUAUGAAAAAUAUUCAAAUGGACUAGAAAAUAAAGAAAAAACCUUUUUGUGCGAGAAUCUUCUACGAGUAUGGAUUUCAACUCUCAAUGAAAGCACCAAUUUGUGGAUGCAAAUUUCUUCCUCCUUGAUCUUAGACGAUUUUGCACCUACAAAACAAUUAACACCUUAGGUUAAGGCCAAGAGCCUCACGCGCCCACGAUGAAUGGGGGGGCUUUGGCCAAAGAACCUCCGAUGCCAAAGUUAGAAUUUAGAGAGAAAGAGUGUUUAGAGAAUUUUGGGAUUUUUGCCAAAGUGUUGGAAUGAAUAUUUGGUGAAAAUAUGAGCCUAUUUAUAGGGUUAGGUUGGUUUAGGUUUUAUUUUGGUUUAAUUAGCCAAUUAAUUGGCUAAUUAAAAAUAAAAGGAAAUAUUUUUGUGGUUAUGGAAUUAAUUGGCUAAUAAAAAGGAAGAAAUGGUGAAAAAAGGUAGAAAAGGUGAUGGAUUAGGUUUUGAAUGGGGAUAGCCGGCCAUGUGGUCUUUUAGGGUUGAAUUGGAUGUAUUUUGUGGUUAUUUGGAUAUAAUGGAUGGUUUAAUUGACAAUUAAUAGGUUAAUUAGGCAAUAAACCCAUUAAUUAGCCAAUUAACAUAAUUUAAAAGGAAUGUGUUUGGGAAUUACCUUGUAGAAAGGAUUUGAUGAGAUGGACUUUGAAUUGUUACCUAUUUUGGGCACUUCUGUCUUGGUUGAAAGAGGGUUGCCCGUUGCUUGCGCGUAGGAACCUCGUUGUACUGCAAGGGUAUUUUUGUCCUUUUUGUCCAAAAAUCCACGGGUCGCCUUGUGAAUAUUUUUGGCUCCACAAAGUACAUAACAUACUAAAAUUGUAGUGAUCAUUUAAAUUGUUACGUGAUCAUGUAAGACUCAACAAACACAAAGAAUACCUACAUGUAGAGCCAUUUGUUACUCAAAUUGUGAGACUCCAGCUUAAUUGUUGACAUGACAUUUUUUAAAUUAUUCUUGAUAUAACGAGAUAUUCACCAUAAGAGGUGGAGAAAUAAAUUGAUAACAAACUUCACGAAACGUCUCAUUUAUAAGUAAAAAGAAUAUGAUCACUCUACAAUGACGCGUUUGAAUUUAAAUACGGUCAAAUACUUACACUAACGUGGAGCGACAUUGUGCAUCCUAAGCCAAUAAUAUAAUGCAAGUGUUUCAACUCCUCCGCGUAACACACAUCACAUGACAUCUCAAUAGGUGUAGGGUAAGUUUCUCUCUUAAAAAAUAUUUCUCACCUUUAUCACCGAAAAUAAAUGUCGACUUAAAUACUUAAAACGAGUUUACUAUCACAUGAUAUCUCGUGUCAAUAACAUAAAAACAUAUAAAUAAAAAUUCAUACAUAUUUUUAUUUAGGGUAAAUCUCUGUUUACUACCUUCAUGUUUUGUGGUUUUCAACAUUUAGUACAUCAAGUUUUUUUCGUCUCAGAGUCAUACCUAAAGUGUAAAUUUUGGGACAGUCUCAUACAUUCGUUAGUCAAAUUGUUAAGUUUCCCGUUAACUGUGACGUGGCGCCCAUAUGGACAAUGACUGUGUGCCACGUGUCAUCCACGUGGAAAUUU
rnacentral:lncRNA from 1 species